UACGUAGGGUGCGAGCGUUAAUCGGAAUAACUGGGCGUAAAGGGUGCGCAGGCGGGUUUGCAAGACAGAUGUGAAAGCCCCAGGCUUAACCUGGGAACUGCAUUUGUGACUGCAAGUCUAGAGUAUGGCAGAGGGAGGUGGAAUUCCAUGUGUAGCAGUGAAAUGCGUAGAGAUAUGGAGGAACACCGAUGGCGAAGGCAGCCUCCUGGGCCAAUACUGACGCUGAGGCACGAAAGCGUGGGGAGCAAACAGG
rnacentral:rRNA from 1 species